GCCGUUAAACCCCCAACUCUUGAAAAUUUGACCUCGGAUCAGGUAGGAAUACCCG
rnacentral:rRNA from 1 species